UGCAUUCACUACUGUAAAUCGCUCUGGAUAAGAGCGUCUGCUAAAAUGACUAAAA
rfam:Salmo salar isolate Sally breed double haploid chromosome ssa23, whole genome shotgun sequence.